GGGGUUAUGGCUCAGCGGUAGAGCGCUCGCCUAGCACGUGCGAGGAGCUGGGUUUAAUCCUUAGCACCA
rnacentral:tRNA from 1 species